UCCGAUCUUAAUGAGGAAUUACAUUCCACAGAACUAGAACAGAAUUUUUCCAUUUCAAAUUUUCAAACAUCUACAUAUAAUAUAGCCAUAUCAUCUUAUGAUACCAUAAAAAUAAUACUGGCAGCUUGGUUGCUAGUUAUUUUAUAACAUAUUUUCUCAUUUAUCAUAUGUAGCUAAACACAGAAAUUAUUUCUAUUUCUUAACUGUAGAAAAGAUAAAAUAUUUUCAAUGCAUGAGUUUACUAUUACCACUUAAAACCUAAGGUAGGGCUGGGCGCAGUGGCUCACACCUGUAAUCCCAGCACUUUGGGCGGCCGAGGCAGACGGAUUACCUGAGGUCAGGAGUUCAAGACCAGACUGGCCAACAUGGUGAAACUCCGUCUCUACUAAAAAUACAAAAAAUUAGCCAGGCAUGGUGGCACAUGCCUGUAGUCCCGGCUACUUAGGAGGCUGAGGCAUAAGCAUCGCUUGAACCCAGGAGGCAGAGGUUGCAGUGAGCCGACACUGCACUCCAGUGUGGGCAAAAGAGACUCCCUCUCAAAAAACAAAACAAAACAAAAACCUAAGUUAAACAUAAAUUAGAUAAUCACAGUAAUUUAUCUUGAACGCCUCACUCUUGAAAAUGUGACAUAAACAAAGAUAGUUAAGUUGUUUCUGAUAGGUGAGAACUGCCUGUAUUUAACUAGUAUAUGGUCAUUAAAGAUCUCCAUGUGGUUUCUAAGAAUGCAGAGUCAUCAUAAGAGAGUCAAUAGCUUUAAAAAACAGCUAGAUUUAAAUAGGGAAGGAAAUGUAGGCAAUAAUAAUGUGAACUGUAUUGUUUUUUGCUCUAAUUUUCAUAGAAGAAAAUGGAAAUAUUUUUUGGUCUCCUAGACAUUUUAAACAAUUGCUAAAAAGUUGUCUUCCAGGUUUUUAUUUUAACAAAAGUGUACAUUAUGGAUUCUACAAGUAACUCAUUUAAGAAAGCCAAAUGUCAUUAACUGUUACAAUCUAUUCAGAAUGGGAGACCGAGAGUGGAAAAUAGCCACUGAAAUUUUUCUUCUAUAGUACUCCAAAAUAAACCCUGCAAUUGUUUUGUCCAAUCCAAAAAGGGCUAUCUCAUGUUUUUCAUAAACCAGUUAUUACAAGCAUGUUCAUGUUUCCUAAAUAAACCAGCAAUAAAAUGAGAACUAUUAACUAUAGCCACACUGUAAUGGGACUUAAGUUAAAUGUAUGUUAUUAAAAUACUUCUCAGAAUGGUCAUUAUUUCUGAGAAUCAGUCUUCAUAUUAAAUAUUUAACAACUUUUAAGAGGAAGUUACUAUAUAUUCUUAAGAGAGAAAAGGUUUUGGUUGAGUUUUCUUAAUGUCUUUAAUAGGAAUUAAAUAUUUGUUGACACUAGGGAUCCUCAAGAAAAGAAAGCAUACUUCUAAAAUCUAGCCAUUAAAUCUAGUUUCAUACUUUCUAAUUUUCUUCAAUUAUACUUGAUUUACAGAGAAUCGAAACUAAUACAAAUGCAGCCACCAUCUGGAAAAAACAUAGGUAAUUCAUUGGACAUUUUCCUUUCUUGACUGUUAAAAAUUCCUCAACAGUUAACUUAUGCAAAUUAGUAAGAAGGUACAAAUGUCAAAAUGACAAAAGGGUACAAAAGUCACAAUAUGAUCAUACCGUUUUGGCCUGGUAUUGCUAUUUAAGUGAAGACAUCCAAAAGGGAGAAAUAUGACAACUGGUAUUUGCUUACUUGCCAAUGAACUAUUACAUAAUGAAUUUUAAAAAAUAGAAACAUUUCUAAUUUCCAGUUGUAAGGGAAUGAAUGGUUAGGCCCAUUGUGAUGUUAAAACUAAAAUAAGUAUUUAGUUGUUAGGGAAAAAAUGAGGAUUAUAUUAAAAUAUGUAAAGUACUUAAGUAAAAGAAGUGGGGAAAGCCAAAAUUUUAUGGAAUUGCUGCAAUUCUGUCAGAGUAAACUGGUAGGAUCAAAAGAUCUGAUGUUUAUAAACACUUGAUGUGAAACGUUUUUCAUUUUAUUUUACUUUUGCAUUGCUUCUGAUGUUUAAUGUUCCUUUUUAAUGUUUAUUAUUGUUACCAUGCUUUCUAUUCAAUUGCAUGUUUUCUACUAAAACUCUUAAUAUUUAAAAAAUAUUAAAAUCUCA
rnacentral:lncRNA from 10 species